GAUCAUGGCUCAGGAUGAACGCUAGCUACAGGCUUAACACAUGCAAGUCGCGGGGCAGCAUGAAGGAUGCUUGCAUCUUUUGUAUGGCGACCGGCGGCACGGGUGAGUAACGCGUAUCCAACCUGCCUGUUACCACGGCACAGCCCGUCGAAAGGCGGAUUAAUGCCGUAUGUGGUCCUUUGCGGGCAUCUAAUUAGGACUAAAGGUUCGGCGGUAACGGAUGGGGAUGCGUCCGAUUAG
rnacentral:rRNA from 1 species